ACGCUCGACACCUACGGAAGGCAGCAGUAGGGAAUCUUCCACAAUGGGCGCAAGCCUGAUGGAGCAACACCGCGUGAGUGAAGAAGGGUUUCGGCUCGUAAAGCUCUGUUGUUGGAGAAGAACGUGCGUGAGAGUAACUGUUCACGCAGUGACGGUAUCCAACCAGAAAGUCACGGCUAACUACGUGCCAGCAGCCGAGGUAAUCUGAGCGGGCUGGCAAGGC
rnacentral:rRNA from 1 species